GAGUUUGAUCAUGGCUCAGGAUGAACGCUAGCGACAGGCUUAACACAUGCAAGUCGAGGGGCAGCGGGGCGGCAGGCUUGCCUGCCGUUGCCGGCGACCGGCGCACGGGUGAGUAACACGUAUGCAACCUGCCCGUGGCAGGGGGAUAAGCGGGGGAAACCCCGUCUAAUACCGCGUAACGCGGCCUAGGGACAUCCCAAGGCCGCCAAAGGGAGCAAUCCCGGCCACGGAUGGGCAUGCGGCGCAUUAGCUAGUCGGCGGGGUAACGGCCCACCGAGGCGACGAUGCGUAGGGGUUCUGAGAGGAAGGCCCCCCACACUGGUACUGAGACACGGACCAGACUCCUACGGGAGGCAGCAGUGAGGAAUAUUGGUCAAUGGGCGCGAGCCUGAACCAGCCAAGUCGCGUGAGGGAGGACGGCCCUACGGGUUGUAAACCUCUUUUGCCGGGGAGCAACGGGCGUCACGUGUGGCGCCACUGAGAGUACCCGGAGAAAAAGCAUCGGCUAACUCCGUGCCAGCAGCCGCGGUAAUACGGAGGAUGCGAGCGUUAUCCGGAUUUAUUGGGUUUAAAGGGUGCGUAGGCGGAUCGUUAAGUCAGUGGUCAAAUUGAGGGGCUCAACCCCUUCCCGCCAUUGAAACUGGCGAUCUUGAGUGGAAGAGAAGUAUGCGGAAUGCGUGGUGUAGCGGUGAAAUGCAUAGAUAUCACGCAGAACCCCGAUUGCGAAGGCAGCAUGCCGGCUUCCGACUGACGCUGAAGCACGAAAGCGUGGGGAUCGAACAGGAUUAGAUACCCUGGUAGUCCACGCGGUAAACGAUGAGCGCUAGGUGUCCGGGGGGAAUGGCCCCUGGGUGCCACAGCGAAAGCGUUAAGCGCUCCACCUGGGGAGUACGCCGGCAACGGUGAAACUCAAAGGAAUUGACGG
rnacentral:rRNA from 1 species